rnacentral:misc_RNA from 1 species
GGAAGUAAAAGUCGAACAAGGUUUCCGUAGGUGAACCUGCGGAAGGAUCAUUAUUGUAUAACCGAGGUGCGAGGGCUGUCGCUGACCCGAAAGGUCGUGCACGCCCGAGUGCCCUCACACACAUCCAUCUCACCCCUAUGUGCACCACCGCGUGGGUCCCCCUUUGGCUUGUUCGGAGGGGGGCUUACGUUUUCACACAAACUUUGUAUGCAGUGUAGAAUGUAUUUUUUGUUUUUGCGAUCACGCAAUCAAUACAACUUUCAACAACGGAUCUCUUGGCUCCC